rnacentral:rRNA from 1 species
UACGUAGGGUGCAAGCGUUGUCCGGAUUUACUGGGCGUAAAGAGCGUGUAGGCGGCCAAGCAGGUCCGUUGUGAAAACUGGAGGCUUAACCUCCAGACGUCGACGGAAACCGCGUGGCUAGAGUGCGGAAGAGGCGAGUGGAAUUCCUGGUGUAGCGGUUGAAAUGCGCAGAUAUCAGGAGGAACACCGAUUGCGAAGGCAGCUCGCUGGGACGUAACUGACGCUGA